UACAAAUUAAAUGUAAUAUUUAAUAACAUCAAUCAAGUGCACGCGAUUGAAAAUAGCUAUUACUGAAACCAGUUUCGAGGUCGUUUCUAAUUUAGUUAUUUCAGAUUUUAGGUGCACAUAAUUGGGUACAAAAUAUCGAAGUUCUGUAUUCUGCAAAUUCGACGUUUUAAAUCUCAAUUUUUAUAAUCAGAGGGUUCUAAUACUAUAUGGAUU